rnacentral:lncRNA from 1 species
UGACAGGAUUGUAUAUGCGUGACUAGUUUACUGCAAGUGUUACGAAGUUGAAGAAUGGCUUUUCCCAACCAGCCUUGUGUACAAAAAGGUGUGGAAAUGCAUAGGGAGCAACGAAGAUGAAUGAAAAAACCAGAGACAUUUGUUUAUGGAAUCUUGAGAUAGUUAUCCUUAUGUAUCAGUACAACAUUGCAAAACCAAAAAAAAAAAAACUUUUUUUAAUCAUUUUUCAAAUAUUCACAAUAAUAUUAAUAUAAAUUAUAGAUUAUAAAUUAUAGAAUAUAUUAUAUAUU